AUUGAACGCUGGCGGCAUGCCUUACACAUGCAAGUCGAACGGUAACAGGUUAAGCUGACGAGUGGCGAACGGGUGAGUAAUGUAUCGGAACGUGCCCAGUCGUGGGGGAUAACUGCUCGAAAGAGCAGCUAAUACCGCAUACGACCUGAGGGUGAAAGCGGGGGAUCGCAAGACCUCGCGCGAUUGGAGCGGCCGAUAUCAGAUUAGGUAGUUGGUGAGGUAAAGGCUCACCAAGCCGACGAUCUGUAGCUGGUCUGAGAGGACGACCAGCCACACUGGGACUGAGACACGGCCCAGACCCCUACGGGAGGCAGCAGUGGGGAAUUUUGGACAAUGGGCGCAAGCCUGAUCCAGCCAUGCCGCGUGCGGGAAGAAGGCCUUCGGGUUGUAAACCGCUUUUGUUAGGGAAGAAAAGGUUCUGGCUAAUACCUGGGACUCAUGACGGUACCUGAAGAAUAAGCACCGGCUAACUACGUG
rnacentral:rRNA from 1 species